ACAGGGAUUGCCCUAGUAACGGCGAGUGAAGCGGCAACAGCUCAAAUUUGAAAUCUGGCUCUUUUAGAGUCCGAGUUGUACUUUGCAGAGGGCGCUUUGGCUUUGGCAGCGGUCCAAGUUCCUUGGAACAGGACGUCACAGAGGGUGAGAAUCCCGUACGUGGUCGCUGGCUAUUGCCGUGUAAAGCCCCUUCGACGAGUCGAGUUGUUUGGGAAUGCAGCUCUAAAUGGGAGGUACAUUUCUUCUAAAGCUAAAUAUUGGCCAGAGACCGAUAGCGCACAAGUAGAGUGAUCGAAAGAUGAAAAGCACUUUGGAAAGAGAGUCAAACAGCACGUGAAAUUGUUGAAAGGGAAGCGCUUGCAGCCAGACUUGCUUGCAGUUGCUCAUCCGGGCUUUUUUGCCCGGUGCACUCUUCUGUAGGCAGGCCAGCAUCAGUUUGGGCGGUAGGAUAAAGGUCUCUGUCACGUACCUCCUUUCGGGGAGGCCUUAUAGGGGAGGCGACAUACUACCAGCCUGGACUGAGGUCCGCGCAUCUGCUAGGAUGCUGGCGUAAUGGCUGUAAGCGGCCCGUCUUGAAACACGGACCAAGGAGUCUAACAUCUAUGCGAGUGUUUGGGUGUCAAGCCCGAGCGCGUAAUGAAAGUGAACGGAGGUGGGAACCCGCAAGGGUGCACCAUCGACCGAUCCUGAUGUCUUCGGAAGGAUUUGAGUAAGAGCAUGGCUGUUGGGACCCGAAAGAUGGUGAACUAUGCUUGAAUAGGGUGAAGCCAGAGGAAACUCUGGUGGAGGCUCGCAGCGGUUCUGACGUGCAAAUCGAUCGUCAAAUUUGGGCAUAGGGGCGAAAGACUAAU
rnacentral:rRNA from 4 species